rnacentral:rRNA from 1 species
CCUACGGGCGGCAGCAGUGAGGAAUAGUGGUCAAUGGCCGUAAGGCUGAACCAGCCAAGUAGCGGGAGGGAAGACUGCCCUAUGGGUUGUAAACCUCUUUUAUGCGGGGAUAAAGGUGUCCAAGUGUGGAUGUUUGCAGGUACCGCAUGAAUAAGGACCGGCUAAUUCCGUGCAAGCAGCCGCGGCAAUACGGAAGUGCCGGGCGUUAUCCGGAUUUAUUGGGUUUAAGGGGAGCGUAGGCCGGUCUUUCAGCGUGCCGUGAAAUUUUGUGGCUCAACCAGGGGAGUGCGGCGCGAACUGGAGACCUUGAGUGCGCGAAAGGCAGGCGGAAUUCGUGGUGUAGCGGUGAAAUGCUUAGAUAUCACGAAGAACCCCGAUUGCGAAGGCAGCCUGCCGCAGCGUGACUGACGCUGAAGCUCGAAAGCGCGGGUAUCGAACAGGAUUAGAUACCCCAGUAGUC